rnacentral:rRNA from 1 species
AGAGUUUGAUCAUGGCUCAGAUUGAACGCUGGCGGCAGGCCUAACACAUGCAAGUCGAACGGUAACAGGAUUAGCUUGCUAAUCGCUGACGAGUGGCGGACGGGUGAGUAAUGCUUGGGAACUUGCCUUUGCGAGGGGGAUAACAGUUGGAAACGACUGCUAAUACCGCAUAAUGUCUACGGACCAAACGGGGCUUCGGCUCCGGCGCAAAGAGAGGCCCAAGUGAGAUUAGCUAGUUGGUAAGGUAAAGGCUUACCAAGGCAACGAUCUCUAGCUGUUCUGAGAGGAAGAUCAGCCACACUGGAACUGAGACACGGUCCAGACUCCUACGGGAGGCAGCAGUGGGGAAUAUUGCACAAUGGGGGAAACCCUGAUGCAGCCAUGCCGCGUGUGUGAAGAAGGCCUUCGGGUUGUAAAGCACUUUCAGUUGUGAGGAAAAGUUAGUAGUUAAUACCUGCUAGCCGUGACGUUAACAACAGAAGAAGCACCGGCUAACUCCGUGCCAGCAGCCGCGGUAAUACGGAGGGUGCGAGCGUUAAUCGGAAUUACUGGGCGUAAAGCGCACGCAGGCGGUUUGUUAAGCUAGAUGUGAAAGCCCCGGGCUCAACCUGGGAUGGUCAUUUAGAACUGGCAGACUAGAGUCUUGGAGAGGGGAGUGGAAUUCCAGGUGUAGCGGUGAAAUGCGUAGAUAUCUGGAGGAACAUCAGUGGCGAAGGCGACUCCCUGGCCAAAGACUGACGCUCAUGUGCGAAAGUGUGGGU